UACGUAGGGGGCAAGCGUUGUCCGGAUUCAUUGGGCGUAAAGGGCGCGUAGGCGGCCUGCUAAGUCGGAUGUGAAAUCCCUCGGCUCAACCGAGGAACUGCAUCCGAUACUGGCGGGCUUGAAUCCGGGAGAGGGAUGUGGAAUUCCAGGUGUAGCGGUGAAAUGCGUAGAUAUCUGGAGGAACACCGGUGGCGAAGGCGGCAUCCUGGACCGGUAUUGACGCUGAGGCGCGAAAGCUAGGGGAGCAAACGGG
rnacentral:rRNA from 1 species